rnacentral:rRNA from 1 species
AGUGAACGCUGGCGGUAGGCCUAACACAUGCAAGUCGAACGGCAGCACAGUAAGAGCUUGCUCUUACGGGUGGCGAGUGGCGGACGAGUGAGGAAUACAUCGGAAUCUACUUUUUCGUGGGGGAUAACGUAGGGAAACUUACGCUAAUACCGCAUACGACCUACGGGUGAAAGCAGGGGAUCUUCGGACCUUGCGCGAUUGAAUGAGCCGAUGUCGGAUUAGCUAGUUGGCGGGGUAAAGGCCCACCAAGGCGACGAUCCGUAGCUGGUCUGAGAGGAUGAUCAGCCACACUGGAACUGAGACACGGUCCAGACUCCUACGGGAGGCAGCAGUGGGGAAUAUUGGACAAUGGGCGCAGGCCUGAUCCAGCCAUACCGCGUGGGUGAAGAAGGCCUUCGGGUUGUAAAGCCCUUUUGUUGGGAAAGAAAAGCAGCGGGUUAAUACCCCGCUGUUCUGACGGUACCCAAAGAAUAAGCACCGGCUAACUUCGUG